rnacentral:rRNA from 1 species
AUUGAACGCUGGCGGCAUGCUUUACACAUGCAAGUCGAACGGUAACAGGGUGCUUGCACCGCUGACGAGUGGCGAACGGGUGAGUAAUGCGUCGGAACGUGCCGAGUAGUGGGGGAUAACGCAGCGAAAGUUGUGCUAAUACCGCAUACGUACUGAGGUAGAGAGUGGGGGACCUUCGGGCCUCACGCUAUUCGAGCGGCCGACGUCUGAUUAGCUAGUAGGUGAGGUAAGAGCUCACCUAGGCAACGAUCAGUAGCGGGUCUGAGAGGAUGAUCCGCCACACUGGGACUGAGACAGGGCCCAGACUCCGACGGGAGGCAGCAGUGGGGAAUUUUGGACAAUGGGCGCAAGCAUGAUCCAGCCAUGCCGCGUGUCUGAAGAAGGCCUUCGGGUUGUAAAGGACUUUUGUCAGGGAGGAAAUCCUGGUGGUUAAUAGCUGCUAGGGAUGACAGUACCUGAAGAAUAAGCACCGGCUAACUACGUGCCAGCCGCCGCCGUAAGAC